rnacentral:rRNA from 1 species
AUACGGAGGGGGUUAGCGUUGUUCGGAAUUACUGGGCGUAAAGCGCACGUAGGCGGACUGGAAAGUUGGGAGUGAAAUCCCGGGGCUCAACCCCGGAACUGCCUCCAAAACUUCCAAUCUAGAGAUCGAGAGAGGUGAGUGGAAUUCCAAGUGUAGAGGUGAAAUUCGUAGAUAUUUGGAGGAACACCAGUGGCGAAGGCGGCUCACUGGCUCGAUACUGACGCUGCGGUGCGAAAGCGUGGGGAGCAAACAGGAUUAGAAACCCCUGUAGUCC